UGGCUAAGUGGUUAAGAGCACUGGCUUGUCUUCCAGAGAUCCUGAGUUCAAUUCUCAG
rfam:Mus musculus chromosome 8, GRC primary reference assembly.